UUCAUAUUGUCUCCGAGGCAGCUGCUCAUCGGUGUCUUUGCACCAUUGAACCGUUGUCACGUUUGAUCGUUUGUGAGGUGUUGGGAGUACAGAGGAUAAACGGGAGGAAAACGAAACGUGUUUGUGUUGAAACAAUGAAACAAGGGGCUGUCUAACUAUUGUCGAAAAGUUUUUCACUCUCGUCCGAAUCGCUGUCUUAACACCAUGUUGUUGAUGCUCUGAAAAGUUGUUGCAUCCGAGGAAGUUGAACAGCGCUGUAUUAAAACUCAAAACUAGCCGCUUGUCAAAUCUUCGGCGACAGUCGCUGUGCAUAAGUUGCCGGCUGUCUUCGAGAGACGUCGUGUUAUUUUAAAGUGUGUAACGGGUUUGCUUUAGAACCGUCUCGAACUGCUCGGUUUUUAUUUGUGUCGUCCGUGAACGUUUGCGGGGUGUCCACGGCGUGUGCGGAGAGUUUUGGCGAGUGGUCUUUUGUCGUGUUGAUUUUCUCAUGCGGCGAACAAAGAAGCGCGCAGCAAAGACUCGGGACCCGAGAAGCCCGUGGAAAGUAAGCGCCCUGUUUACAAUAAUAACACUGGCGUCGUGACGUGCGCUGACUGACGGAGCGCCGAGCCAAUGGCGUGCCGCGGUUGCUUCGGCAACACGCUAUAUUUGGAAAGAGUUACAUCAUCGGAGGACCGCCUUCGAGGGGGCGGGACAUCCGCGAGGAUUGACGCGCUUGUCUGGACUUGCCUGCAGUGCGCUUUGUUAUUACUUUCCUGGCUGAUAAAGUAUAAAAAAACGGGUCAAAACACGAAGCGUGUCCUUUCAGCAUUUUAAAAGCGCCGAGAAGCUGACACACUAAUGAUUUACCACGAAACGUUAACGGGCGACCUGGAGGUGCUAUUAAAUGUAAAGUCGGUCAUUUUUACAAUUGAGGGGAGGGCGAAAAGUUGACAUGAUUUGAAUUAAUUCAGCACUGAAAUAUUUAGCAAGUGCAAAGGUGGAUGAAUGAAAAAGAAAGGAGAAGACUGCGUGUUAAAGUGACUUUGGUGUGAAUUUGAAUGUUGUCGCUGGUGAUGCUGGUUUUGUUGCUUAUUCACGUAUUAUGACGGUGGGAGCAAAAUAAUAGAGUUAAUAGUAGAGUUUAUAACACGCUACAACUUAUACUCCGAGGUUUUGUUGCAGUUCGGGGUGGCCUUUGGGUGGAAUUAAUACCUAAGGCCUAAAUUUGUGCAUGCAUACAUCUUCGGUAGACUGAACUAAAACAAGGGAUUUGCUAGGCUAUAUGACAUGGCUAAAUAAUAACAUCCAGCAUAGAGGUCAAGAGAAGUGUUUAGAUAAAGUUAAGUCACGUCCCAACAGUAGGCAUAAAGGUUUUCACUUUAAAAGUAGUUUAUUAGGCAUGCAUAUAUUCGGUGCAUUCUGCCCAGUCAUCCACGGUGGAUAAGUACAGAACAGUUCAUGUUCUUUUACUACAGACACACUUCCUGUUCUGUACUUUAUCUUCAAAUAAAAUGAGUCAGUUCCUUUUCCCACUGUGCACAUCCACUAAAACACAAACACACGUUUAGUAGCGCAGACCCGUGUGGGAACACACUCUCUCAGAUAUUUCACGUUUAUUUAUGUCAGCGGUGUCGUGCCAGUUUAUGCGGGUGUGUCUUCAUAUAAGAAAUGUUUUAUUUCACGUUGUUAUUUUAGCUAAAAUGUGGGUCGCUUAUAACUGCGGAAUAAAGCCAUUAUUGUUGUUAUUAUUAUACACUAGCUAGCCUCUGCCUCGCUUUGCCGAGUUGCAGUUAACGCUUGCAAACUAGGGCUGAGGUUUAGAAAGAAUUUAGUCACACAGCCACCAGAUACUCCUAAAUGCAUCAUCAGGGGUUGCCGGUCAAAUAGUCGCAAAGCGGUGCCAAAUUUUGAAAGUCAUUAUCCGAAUGAUGCAGUCGGCGGUAAUCAGAAAGGGGCGGAUUUGACAGAUGGAGCGCAGUUUCUUUCUUCUCCCAAUCAACCUUCACGCUGCUGGUGGUGUGAGUGACGCAGCUCGCGGUGGCUCGCGCUGUCCGCCGCCGUAGUGAAGCGCAGGCUCUGUUGCCAAGCUACUCGCUUCGUCUUCGCGGAAAACGUCGACUAACGUUCAGCUCGUACCGUGCGUGCGUCCCCGUCGAGCGACUGCACGCGCGCUUUUAGAGAAAGAAAGCGCGAGCGCCGCUGCGUCCCCCUCUUAAAUUGACAAAAAUAAAUAAAUAAAUAAAAAUAAUAAAGCGCGCUGGCUUUGUCAUACCGUAGUCCCAGAAAAGCAGAUACCCCCGCAGACGACGCAACUGAUUUUUAAUCAACCGAAAGCUUAAACCGCACACGCGCUCGCCUGUCAAUAGCACGCAGGGAGAUUGCAAUGGUAACAAUCGUUAUUUCAAACGCUGACUGGCAGAGCUACGGUUAAACCGUGCUCCGUUGGCCGUGUAAGGAUAUCGUGCGUGGGUUCUGGGUUGCUAGCCGGUUUGAGGGUGCAUUUUGUCUCGACCAAUCCUGCGCGGUGCUCUAGGUCCCGGCAUGCCCAAUGCGGGCAGGGGGAGGCUCCGGCCAAUUUGAAUGAAGACUGGAGCUUUCGGCGCCAUUUUCGAGUGAGCAGCUACAGCAACAACAGCUGCCUAGAGAGGCUCCGCGCUGUAGUCCAGUAAUCGGAGCGAGCGGACACUUUUCCUUUUCGUCUCCAGAAAACAAAGAGGGAUUUUUUUUCCCAGAAUUCCUCCGCAAAUUCGAGACGACUGUUUCCCGGUGGAUGACUGCGGCGGACGCGAAAGACGGUGCGCGGUGACAACAAAUAGUGAAGUGAAGACUGAAGUGAGCUAGGAGGCUAAUCCGGCUAGCAUCUCCAGCCGAGAAGGGGCGUCCGAUUGGAGCCGCGCUCAGGAAACGAUAUAUUUUUGCCUUAUUUUUUCGAAAAAAAUCUAACAAAUGCGCGGACGACUUGAAAAUUCUAUAAAAAAUUGGGAAAAUUCUCGCUGGCGACGACGAUUAGAUCGGUGCGGCUUGUUCGGCGGAGCCAGGUGGUUUUGUGCAUUUUUUAAAUGUUAAGUUUGAGCGGGAUUGGUGAUGUGCGCGAGACGGCCGGCGAGCCCGGCAGCCUAUCAGCGCGCGAUACACCGGGAUGCCACACCGACCGACACUGUCCUAUUCUUUACUACAGCUUUUCUUCCUCUUUCAGCGACAAAACAACGGUGACUGGAGCGCCUUUUAUUUUUCGUUUCUCGGCACGAGCUGUACGUAACGAGCGCGCCGUCCGAAUUUUUAACGGCGAACUUUUUUUUUUCUUUUUUCUUUUUUUGUGGAUUUACAAACACGUCCAGGUGUUUUUUAGAAUCGCCUGCAUGGUUGACAUCAGAAACUAGAAAAUGAUUCAAGAUGGAGUCCUGGAAUGCCUCGAGCCCUGCUGAGAGAAAGAGAGAGAGGGAGGAGAGGAGUCACUCGCUCUGUGGUUCUGGCAGUGCUUGGUCAUGUUGCCGAGUGUGUGAUUGAGAGACGGGGACCCUCUCUAGGUGAUGGUGUAGCAGCACAGAAUGGUUUGUGGUGAUACAGAGAUGCAGGCCGUGAUGUGCUGCAGCAUCAAUUCCUGGGACCUACGCAGUCGACAAAGACACCGAGAGAAGAGCGAGGGAUUGUGUGUGUGUGAGAGGGAGAGAGAGCGAGAAUGCGUGUGUUGUCUUGCUUUAGCAGCAUGUAAAUAUUGGAGUUACUCCUUGGCCAAUGCCUCCAAUAUUGCUCGUGCUGCUGAAGCAAGAAGUCACCAAGCAGCACAUGCACGUCAUCUUUUUAUCUCAGCUGCCAGGGCCUAGCCGGUGCAGGUAGUGGCUGACUCACUGGUACUGAAAUACCUUCAUGGACUGAAUCAUCAGACCAGCGUAGAGAAACCAGGAGGACCCUUGGUCUCACCGGAGCAAACUGAAUGGUCAAAGGUAAAGAGAGAUGCAGUGUUUUUAGGUUAAAUAGCUCAUUUUUAAUCUUAUCUAUUUGUUUUAAGCAUGUAUCAUUUUUACCCCUGUAUCCUGUAUAUUUUUUUCCCAGUAAAUAUAUAUAUAUUUUUAAUAUUCCAGAUCAAAUCACUGCUGUGCUGUUCCUUUUGUGUGUUAAUGCAAGUAAAUAAUAAAACUGGGGGGAGAGAGGAAAGUCUG